AUUGAACGCUGGCGGCAUGCCUUACACAUGCAAGUCGAACGGUAACAGGUCUUCGGAUGCUGACGAGUGGCGAACGGGUGAGUAAUACAUCGGAACGUGCCUAGUAGUGGGGGAUAACUACUCGAAAGAGUGGCUAAUACCGCAUGAGAUCUACGGAUGAAAGCAGGGGAUCGCAAGACCUUGUGCUACUAGAGCGGCCGAUGGCAGAUUAGGUAGUUGGUGGGAUAAGAGCUUACCAAGCCGACGAUCUGUAGCUGGCCUGAGAGGACGAUCAGCCACACUGGGACUGAGACACGGCCCAGACUCCUACGGGAGGCAGCAGUGGGGAAUUUUGGACAAUGGGCGCAAGCCUGAUCCAGCAAUGCCGCGUGCAGGAUAAAGGCCUUCGGGUUGUAAACUGCUUUUGUACGGAACGAAAAGCCCUGGGUUAAUACCCUGGGGUCAUGACGGUACCGUAAGAAUAAGCACCGGCUAACUACGUGCCAGCCGCCGCGGUAACAC
rnacentral:rRNA from 1 species